CCUUGACAGUUUUCCUGACAGGGAUCUAUCCGGUGAUACACACAUUAGCGAAGGUCAGGCAACCCUGACACUACACACUAUUGGUAGUAACUCCAACAAAAUCGUGGUAUAUGUUGGUGAAACAAACUAGAGAAGGCCAUCCUCAUCGGAGAGGACCGAUGAUGGAAUAUGUUAUACACAUCCUCAAAACAGAUAAAGCUUUACCCCCACAGAUCUCUUGCACAGGAGAGGCACCUCUAUGGAGUAGAAGUCUGUAUCAAGGAUCCAUGACUUUGGUGAUAGCCCCAACGUCAACAUCCUUGAAAACUUGGAUCGCAUGUCCAAGACAUUACUGAUUGUCAUCCCCGGUAGAAUUAACAGGGAACCAAGGAUCAUUCAUUUAUGCAUCAUACAUUUGCAUCAUGUUACUGCACAUGGCAUCAUGUUUAUCUUGUUGCAUUUCAAGUGUCUAGGAUUAUUUAUCCUAUCCAUGCAUUGCAUUGUAUGAAUAUGAUAAAG
rnacentral:lncRNA from 1 species